rnacentral:sRNA from 1 species
AAGAAAAAUACAAAAAAUUAAAUAAAAAAACAUAAGUUUGUUAAAGAAUACACAUGAGCUUAGGAUUUUUUGUGUUUGUUAAGGACUAAUACGUGUCAGUGUGAUUGGUAAGGAGAAAGAGAUUGUUUUACUAUUAUAGAUAUAAAUGUGUAUAUAUAUAUACUAUAUCUCAACACAUAAAAAUUAGAGAAUCUGAUUUAAAGAUGAAGCUGGUGAUUGUAAUUAUUACAUGUUAAUAUUAGCGUAAUAAACAUAAUUAUUACGUAAGAAAAAACUUUUUAAUUUUGAUUUAUAAUCACAUAAGAUAUUAUUCUUAUUUGAGUAGCUACAGAAAUUUAGGUUGGUUAAGAAGUGGAUUGAGCAGUGAAAAUAAUUUUUCUAUCUUUUAUAUAAUUAAUAGGGAAUGUUCCGUAAUAAGGCACUUUGAAAAAAAGUUUAGACAAAACAGACACUUUCCAAGGUUGAGACACUUUUCCUUGUUUUUGGAGUGAAAAUAGACCAUUAUACCCCAAAUAAACUGAAUCACGAAAAGAAGAAUAACCGGUCAUUGGUUUUGGUUUGUAAUUGUGUGUACCAAACACGUGUAGAAUAAUGGGUUAAUUCGGAUCAAAUGAACGUGUUAAGAUUUGCAGUUUAAAUAGAAGUUAAUGAGAAAUAAUGACCGUCCGAUCAUAUAACAAUUAAACGGACGAGAAGAUGGAUUUAUCUGCAAACAUAACUAACUUGCGUUAUGUUAGGUCUUCAGAGAUUGGUUUCACAACAUAACUAACAAGACUUUGAUAGCAAUCUUAUGUUUUCUGUAAACAAUUAAUAAUAGAACUAAGAAUGUUGUAGUAAAAAUUGACUGCUUUUCAGUAAUAAUAAAUAUACAUGUUCUAGUUAUUUAGUUUUAUGCCUACCUGAUUAUCCACAACAUCGUGUAGAUCCAUAUCUUGAUAGAGAGAGAUUUUAUACUGAAAGAUAUGAUAAUGAUGAUGUGAAAUUAUG